rnacentral:rRNA from 1 species
AAUAGAUACCCCGGUAGUCCACGCCGUAAACGAUGAGUGCUAAGUGUUAGGGGGUUUCCGCCCCUUAGUGCUGCAGCUAACGCAUUAAGCACUCCGCCUGGGGAGUACGGUCGCAAGACUGAAACUCAAAGGAAUUGACGGGGGCCCGCACAAGCGGUGGAGCAUGUGGUUUAAUUCGAAGCAACGCGAAGAACCUUACCAGGUCUUGACAUCCCAUUGACCGCUAUGGAGACAUAGCUUUCCCUUCGGGGACAGUGGUGACAGGUGGUGCAUGGUUGUCGUCAGCUCGUGUCGUGAGAUGUUGGGUUAAGUCCCGCAACGAGCGCAACCCUUGUUCUUAGUUGCCAUCAUUUAGUUGGGCACUCUAAGGAGACUGCCGGUGACAAACCGGAGGAAGGUGGGGAUGACGUCAAAUCAUCAUGCCCCUUAUGACCUGGGCUACACACGUGCUACAAUGGACGGUACAAACGGUUGCCAACCCGCGAGGGGAGUUAAUCCGAUAAAACCGUUCUCAGUUCGGAUUGUAGGCUGCAACUCGCCUACA